rnacentral:rRNA from 1 species
AUUGAACGCUGGCGGCAGGCCUAACACAUGCAAGUCGAGCGGAUGAUGGGUGCUUGCUCCUGGAUUCAGCGGCGGACGGGUGUGUAAUGCCUACGAAUCCGCCUGGUAGUGGGGUACAACGUUUCGAAAGGAACGCUAAUACCGCAUACGUCCUACGGGAGAAAGCAGGGGACCUUCGGGCCUUGCGCCAUCAGAUGAGCCUAGGUCGGAUGAGCUUGUUGGUGAGGUAAUGGCACACCAAGGCGACGAUCCGUAACUGGUCUGAGAGGAUGAUCAGUCACACUGGAACUGAGACACGGUCCAGACUCCUACAGGAGGCAGCAGUGGGGAAUAUUGGACAAUGGGCGAAAGCCUGAUCCAGCCAUGCCGCGUGUGUGAAGAAGGUCUUCGGAUUGUAAAGCACUUUAAGUUGGGAGGAAGGGUUGUAGAUUAAUACUCUGCAAUUUUGACGUUACCGACAGAAUAAGCACCGGCUAACUCUGUGCCAGCCGCCGCUGUAAGAC